UACUAUAUAAUAGUUAAAACUUUCAACAACGGAUCUCUUGGUUCUGGCAUCGAUGAAGAACGCAGCGAAAUGCGAUAAGUAAUGUGAAUUGCAGAAUUCAGUGAAUCAUCGAAUCUUUGAACGCACAUUGCGCCCGGUGGUAUUCCGCCGGGCAUGCCUGUUCGAGCGUCAUUAUAACCAAUCAUGCCUGGCAUGGUGUUGGGGCACGCGGUCUCGCGGCCCUCAAAAUCAGUGGCGGUGCCGGUAGGCUCUAAGCGUAGUAAUUCUUCUCGCUACAGGGUCCUGCGGGUGGCUUGCCAGAACCCCCCAUUUUUUCAGGUUGACCUCGGAUCAGGUAGGGAUACCCGCUGAACUUAAGCAUAUCAAUAAGCGGAGGAAAAGAAACCAACAGGGAUUACCUCAGUAACGGCGAGUGAAGCGGUAACAGCUCAAAUUUGAAAGCUCCCCACAGGGCGCAUUGUAAUUUGUAGAGGAUGCUUUGGGGGUCGGCCCGGUUUAAGUUCCUUGGAACAGGACGUCAUAGAGGGUGAGAAUCCCGUAUGUGACCGGUGCUAGCCUUCGUGUAAAGCUCCUUCGACGAGUCGAGUUGUUUGGGAAUGCAGCUCAAAAUGGGUGGUAUAUUUCAUCUAAAGCUAAAUAUUGGCCAGAGACCGAUAGCGCACAAGUAGAGUGAUCGAAAGAUGAAAAGCACUUUGGAAAGAGAGUUAAACAGUACGUGAAAUUGUUGAAAGGGAAGCGCUUGCAAUCAGACUUGCGGGCGGUCGAUCAUCCGAGCUUCUGCCCGGUGCACUCGAUCGUUCUCAGGCCAGCAUCAGUUU
rnacentral:rRNA from 1 species